CCUACGGGAGGCUGCAGUGGGGAAUUUUGGACAAUGGGCGCAAGCCUGAUCCAGCUAUUCCGCGUGUGGGAAGACGGCCUUCGGGUUGUAAACCACUUUUGUAGAGAACGAAAAGUCUAUUGAUAAUAACUAUAGAUGAUGACGGUACUCUAAGAAUAAGCACCGGCUAACUACGUGCCAGCAGCCGCGGUAAUACGUAGGGUGCGAGCGUUAGUCGGAAUUACUGGGCGUAAAGGGUGCGCAGGCGGUUUUGGAAGUUGGAUGUGAAAGCCCCGGGCUUAACCUGUGAAAUCACUACGAGACUGGAAGACUAGAGUGCGACAGAGGGGGGUGGAAUUCCAAGUGUAGCAGUGAAAUGCGUAGAUAUUUGGAAGAACACCGGUGGCGAAGGCAGCCCCCUGGGACGCAACUGACGCUCAUACACGAAAGCGUGGGGAGCAAACAGGAUUAGAUACCCCAGUAGUC
rnacentral:rRNA from 1 species